rnacentral:rRNA from 1 species
AGAGUUUGAUCAUGGCUCAGGACGAACGCUGGCGGCGUGCUUAACACAUGCAAGUCGAACGGAAUCCAUGGUGUAGCAAUACACCGGAAGAUUUAGUGGCGAACGGGUGAGGAUCACGUGAGAAACCUGCCCCAGACUUUGGGAUAACAAUCGGAAACGAUUGCUAAUACCGAAUGACGUCGGAGAACCGCAUGGUUCACUGACGAAAGGAAAUCCGGUUUGGGAGGGUCUCGCGGCCUAUCAGCUUGUUGGUGGGGUAAUGGCCUACCAAGGCAACGACGGGUAGCUUGGUCUGAGAGGAUGAUCAGCCACACUGGGACUGAGACACGGCCCAGACUCCUACGGGAGGCAGCAGUGGGGAAUCUUGCGCAAUGGGCGAAAGCCUGACGCAGCAACGCCGCGUGCGGGAUGAAGGCCUUCGGGCUGUAAACCGCUUUCAGCAGGAACGAAAAUGACGGUACCUGCAGAAGGAGGAGCGGCCAACUACGUGCCAGCAGCCGCGGUGACACGUAGGCUCCAAGCGUUGUCCGGAUUUAUUGGGCGUAAAGAGCUCGUAGGCGGUUUAGUAAGUCGGGUGUUAAAACUCUGGGCUCAACCCGGAGAGGCCAUCCGAUACUGCUGUGACUUGAGUUCAGGAGGGGAGCGGGGAAUU